GACAGAGGUGCCAAGCGUUAGGCGGAAUCACUGGGCUUAAAGCGUGUGUAGGCGGAACGUUAAGUGCCUUGUGAAAUCCCACGGCUCAACCGUGGAACUGCUGGGCAUACUGGCGUUCUUGAGCCAGCCAGGGGUCGUCGGAACAAACGGUGGAGCGGUGAAAUGCGUAGAUAUCGUUUGGAACGCCAAAGGCGAAAGCAGCUCUCUGGGUCCCUACCGACGCUGGGGUGCGAAAGCAUGGGGAGCGAACAGG
rnacentral:rRNA from 1 species